rnacentral:rRNA from 1 species
GAUGAACGCUAGCGGGAGGCCUAACACAUGCAAGCCGAGCGGUAUUGUUUCUUCGGAAAUGAGAGAGCGGCGUACGGGUGCGGAACACGUGUGCAACCUGCCUUUAUCUGGGGGAUAGCCUUUCGAAAGGAAGAUUAAUACUCCAUAACAUAUUGAUUGGCAUCAAUUAAUAUUGAAAGCUCCGGCGGAUAGAGAUGGGCACGCGCAAGAUUAGCUAGUUGGUGAGGUAACGGCUCACCAAGGCGAUGAUCUUUAGGGGGCCUGAGAGGGUGAUCCCCCACACUGGUACUGAGACACGGACCAGACUCCUACGGGAGGCAGCAGUGAGGAAUAUUGGUCAAUGGGUGCAAGCCUGAACCAGCCAUCCCGCGUGAAGGACGACUGCCCUAUGGGUUGUAAACUUCUUUUGUAUAGGGAUAAACCUACCCUCGUGAGGGUAGCUGAAGGUACUAUACGAAUAAGCACCGGCUAACUCCGUGCCAGCAGCCGCGGUAAUACGGAGGGUGCAAGCGUUAUCCGGAUUUAUUGGGUUUAAAGGGUCCGUAGGCGGACUUAUAAGUCAGUGGUGAAAGCCUGUCGCUUAACGAUAGAACUGCCAUUGAUACUGUAAGUCUUGAGUAUAUUUGAGGUAGCUGGAAUAAGUAGUGUAGCGGUGAAAUGCAUAGAUAUUACUUAGAACACCAAUUGCGAAGGCAGGUUACCAAGAUAUAACUGACGCUGAGGGACGAAAGCGUGGGGAGCGAACAGG